AUUGAACGCUGGCGGCAGGCUUAACACAUGCAAGUCGAGCGAGCGGCGGACGGGUGAGUAAUGUCUGGGAACCUUCCCGAUGGAGGGGGAUAACUACUGGAAACGGUCGCUAAUACCGCAUACUAUCAGAUUAACCCAUAUGGGAUUAGCUAGUAGGUGGGGUAAAGGCUCACCUAGGCGACGAUCCCUAGCUGGUCUGAGAGGAUAACCAGCCAGCCUGAAACUGAGACACGGCCCAGACUCCAACGGGAGGCAGAAGUGGGGAAUAUUGCACAAUGGGAGCAAGCCUGAUGCAGCCAGGCCGCGUGUAGGAAGAAGGCCUUAGGGUUGUAAAGUACUUUCAGCGAGGAGGCGUUACCCGCAGAAGAAGCAACGGCUAACUCCGUGCCAGCAGCCGCGGUAAUUC
rnacentral:rRNA from 1 species